rnacentral:rRNA from 1 species
GGGUUGUGAGGUUAAGCGACUAAGCGUACACGGUGGAUGCCCUGGCAGUCAGAGGCGAUGAAGGGCGUGCUAAUCUGCGAUAAGCGCCGGUAAGGUGAUAUGAACCGUUAUAACCGGCGAUACCCGAAUGGGGAAACCCAGUGUGACUCGUCACACUAUCAUUAACUGAAUCCAUAGGUUAAUGAGGCGAACCGGGGGAACUGAAACAUCUAAGUACCCCGAGGAAAAGAAAUCAACCGAGAUUCCCCCAGUAGCGGCGAGCGAACGGGGAGGAGCCCAGAGCCUGAAUCAGCAUGUGUGUUAGUGGAAGCGUCUGGAAAGGCGCGCGAUACAGGGUGACAGCCCCGUACACAAAAGCGCAUGUGCUGUGAGCUCGAUGAGUAGGGCGGGACACGUGGUAUCCUGUCUGAAUAUGGGGGGACCAUCCUCCAAGGCUAAAUACUCCUGACUGACCGAUAGUGAACCAGUACCGUGAGGGAAAGGCGAAAAGAACCCCGGCGAGGGGAGUGAAAAAGAACCUGAAACCGUGUACGUACAAGCAGUGGGAGCACAGGUUUACCUGUGUGACUGCGUACCUUUUGUAUAAUGGGUCAGCGACUUAUAUUCUGUAGCAAGGUUAACCGUAUAGGGGAGCCGGAGGGAAACCGAGUCUUAACCGGGCGUUAAGUUGCAGGGUAUAGACCCGAAACCCGGUGAUCUAGCCAUGGGCAGGUUGAAGGUUGGGUAACACUAACUGGAGGACCGAACCGACUAAUGUUGAAAAAUUAGCGGAUGACCUGUGGCUGGGGGUGAAAGGCCAAUCAAACCGGGAGAUAGCUGGUUCUCCCCGAAAGCUAUUUAGGUAGCGCCUCGUGAAUUCAUCUCCGGGGGUAGAGCACUGUUUCGGCUAGGGGGCCAUCCCGGCUUACCAACCCGAUGCAAACUGCGAAUACCGGAGAAUGUUAUCACGGGAGACACACGGCGGGUGCUAACGUCCGUCGUGAAGAGGGAAACAACCCAGACCGCCAGCUAAGGUCCCAAAGUCAUGGUUAAGUGGGAAACGAUGUGGGAAGGCCCAGACAGCCAGGAUGUUGGCUUAGAAGCAGCCAUCAUUUAAAGAAAGCGUAAUAGCUCACUGGUCGAGUCGGCCUGCGCGGAAGAUGUAACGGGGCUAAACCAUGCACCGAAGCUGCGGCAGCGACGCUGAUGCGUUGUUGGGUAGGGGAGCGUUCUGUAAGCCUGUGAAGGUGUGUCGUGAGGCAUGCUGGAGGUAUCAGAAGUGCGAAUGCUGACAUAAGUAACGAUAAAGCGGGUGAAAAGCCCGCUCGCCGGAAGACCAAGGGUUCCUGUCCAACGUUAAUCGGGGCAGGGUGAGUCGACCCCUAAGGCGAGGCCGAAAGGCGUAGUCGAUGGGAAACGGGUUAAUAUUCCCGUACUUGGUGUUACUGCGAAGGGGGGACGGAGAAGGCUAUGUUGGCCGGGCGACGGUUGUCCCGGUUUAAGCGUGUAGGUGUGUGUUCCAGGUAAAUCCGGUUCACUUUAACACUGAGGCGUGACGACGAGGCACUACGGUGCUGAAGCAACAAAUGCCCUGCUUCCAGGAAAAGCCUCUAAGCAUCAGGUAACAUCAAAUCGUACCCCAAACCGACACAGGUGGUCAGGUAGAGAAUACCAAGGCGCUUGAGAGAACUCGGGUGAAGGAACUAGGCAAAAUGGUGCCGUAACUUCGGGAGAAGGCACGCUGACACGUAGGUGAAGUGAUUUACUCACGGAGCUGAAGUCAGUCGAAGAUACCAGCUGGCUGCAACUGUUUAUUAAAAACACAGCACUGUGCAAACACGAAAGUGGACGUAUACGGUGUGACGCCUGCCCGGUGCCGGAAGGUUAAUUGAUGGGGUCAGCGCAAGCGAAGCUCCUGAUCGAAGCCCCGGUAAACGGCGGCCGUAACUAUAACGGUCCUAAGGUAGCGAAAUUCCUUGUCGGGUAAGUUCCGACCUGCACGAAUGGCGUAAUGAUGGCCAGGCUGUCUCCACCCGAGACUCAGUGAAAUUGAACUCGCUGUGAAGAUGCAGUGUACCCGCGGCAAGACGGAAAGACCCCGUGAACCUUUACUAUAGCUUGACACUGAACAUUGAGCCUUGAUGUGUAGGAUAGGUGGGAGGCUUUGAAGUGUGGACGCCAGUCUGCAUGGAGCCGACCUUGAAAUACCACCCUUUAAUGUUUGAUGUUCUAACGUGGACCCGUGAUCCGGGUUGCGGACAGUGUCUGGUGGGUAGUUUGACUGGGGCGGUCUCCUCCUAAAGAGUAACGGAGGAGCACGAAGGUUGGCUAAUCCUGGUCGGACAUCAGGAGGUUAGUGCAAUGGCAUAAGCCAGCUUGACUGCGAGCGUGACGGCGCGAGCAGGUGCGAAAGCAGGUCAUAGUGAUCCGGUGGUUCUGAAUGGAAGGGCCAUCGCUCAACGGAUAAAAGGUACUCCGGGGAUAACAGGCUGAUACCGCCCAAGAGUUCAUAUCGACGGCGGUGUUUGGCACCUCGAUGUCGGCUCAUCACAUCCUGGGGCUGAAGUAGGUCCCAAGGGUAUGGCUGUUCGCCAUUUAAAGUGGUACGCGAGCUGGGUUUAGAACGUCGUGAGACAGUUCGGUCCCUAUCUGCCGUGGGCGCUGGAGAACUGAGGGGGGCUGCUCCUAGUACGAGAGGACCGGAGUGGACGCAUCACUGGUGUUCGGGUUGUCAUGCCAAUGGCACUGCCCGGUAGCUAAAUGCGGAAGAGAUAAGUGCUGAAAGCAUCUAAGCACGAAACUUGCCCCGAGAUGAGUUCUCCCUGAGACUUAGAGUCUCCUGAAGGAACGUUGAAGACGACGACGUUGAUAGGCCGGGUGUGUAAGCGCAGCGAUGCGUUGAGCUAACCGGUACUAAUGAACCGUGAGGCUUAACCUUACAACGCCGAAG